UACAUAGGGUGCGAGCGUUAAUCGGAAUUACUGGGCGUAAAGCGUGCGCAGGCGGCGCGUUAAGACAGGUGUGAAAGCCCCGAGCUUAACUUGGGAAUUGCGCUUGUGACUGGCGUGCUGGAGUGUGGCAGAGGGAGGUGGAAUUCCACGUGUAGCAGUGAAAUGCGUAGAGAUGUGGAGGAACACCGAUGGCGAAGGCAGCCUCCUGGGCCAGCACUGACGCUCAUGCACGAAAGCGUGGGGAGCAAACAGG
rnacentral:rRNA from 1 species